UGGGAAUAUAGUUAAGUCGAUACCGACAUUUCACUUAACAUGGCAAGUAAGAGAACGUAAUAUGGUUAAUGACCUAACGACAUUGGCUUAACUGUGAGUGCAUUCAUCUUUAGUCAUUGACAUUGUUUUGGGGUGAUUGAAGCGUAUCUAGUGGUGGAGAGAAGUUCCUAGCUAUUGUUUCUCUCAUAUUUACAUCCAUAUUCACUUUUUAAUAUUCUGUUUUCAGCAGUACUUCUGUUUUAUCUAUUUUGUUCACCAAUCAAACCAACUCCGAAUACCCUCAAAAUUUGUGUGGUAGUCCGCCACUGUGUCUAGUUACUGUGUACUUAAUUUCAUAAUUUUUGGUUGAGUCUAGAUUAGCUAAUUAAUUAGGUUUCUGCUCCUAGGUCGAGUCUGCCAGAUUUCUGGUUUACGCGUCUGUUUGUGUUUCUUAUGUGUUUAAGUCUUAGCAUCACCAAUCCUCUGCGGGUAAUGACCCCUAUUUGCCGUUUACUACAUUGAUAUAAUUGAUUUGAUAAUAGGGUAUCUUUGUAGGUGCUUUUGCGCCUACCAUACUCCGAUGAAAAUUUACACUUCAAAAAUGUCACACAGGUGAUGUUAUCAGCAGGAACUGACACUUCAGCUGGAACCAUGGAAUGGGGGCUUGCACUUCUGCUCAACAACCCAGAAGCCCUAGCAAAAGCACAGACAGAAAUUGAUGUCCAAAUUGGGCAAAGCAGGCUAAUUGAGGAAGCAGACCUUGCCAACCUUCCCUAUCUCCAUGGCAUCAUAAACGAGACCCUCAGAAUGUACCCAGCAGACCCACUUCUAGUACCCCAUGAGUCCUCACAGGAGUGCACACUGGGAGGGUACCAUGUCCCACGUGGCACAAUGCUGUUGGUGAACAUUUGGGCCAUGCAUCAUGAUCCCAAAUUGUGGGAGCAGCCUGAGCAGUUCAAGCCAGAGAGGUUUUUAACUUCAAAGAAUGAAGCAAAUGGUUUCAAGCUGCUGCCGUUUGGGACAGGAAGGAGAGGCUGUCCUGGAGAAGGGUUAGCGACUCGAAUAAUCGGGCUGGCGUUAGGGGUCACUGAUACAGUGCUUUGAGUGGGAGAGAAGUAGUGAUGAAAUGGUGAACAUGAGUGAAGGGGCUGGCCUCACCAUGCCUAAAGCUCAAGCUCUGCUAGCAAAGUGCAGGCCACGCCCGAUAAUGGUAGCCUUACUUUCACAGCUCCAGUCUUUAUCGAAGAAUAUCAAGGACUGAAGGAAAGCAAAAUCCAUUGAAAAUCAAAUAACACAGAGAGGAAAGGAAUGUGGGUGUUACAUCAUAUCUGAACUCCAUAGUAGCAGUGGUUAUGGUAUGAGAUUCGAUAAGGGUUUCCAAUACUUAUACCUUAAAUGUGUGUGGCCUGUAUUUUGAUACAUACUCGUUUCGGCAGAACUAGGAAUAGCUUGCUUCUGAAAAUUAGUAUAGAAUUUUCGUUGUUAGUGAGCGGUACUGUGAGGGAGGAUUGAGCCAACAUGGUACUGGUGCAUCUAUGCUUUGUGUACUGUUAAGCCAAAUGGCAUGCAUCAUAAGCCAUUAACCAAAAGGAUGGUGCUUGUUUGUUCUACAUUUUGUUCAUUAUCUUUGUGAAUAAAAUAAAAGGGCUGAUUGGAUCGAAAAAAAAAAAAGGAGAUCACAGAUUUGAAGCAAUUGAACUUUCAAACUUAUAAAUAAAAAGAAAAUAAAAAAUGAAAUACUUUCAAACUUAGUAUGUAAAUACUAUCAAGUGACGUAGCAGUGAAAGAAAAUUAAUCCAGAUGUUUAUGCAAAUUUAAGAUAACUAAUAACAAUGAAUACUAUAGGAUUUGUUGGAAAAUCAUGAGCUUAAUCCGUUUGUUAUAUAGUUCUUUUCUUUUAUAGACAAGCAAAUAAUGAUCAAAUUACCUCUAAUUUAGUUUAUCUUUUCGCACAAUGAUAUCGUCACAUCUUUAAUUACAAAUGAUUAAGUGAAUAUGUUCUAGCUCACAUUAGCUAUGACAGUGGAUUCCCGGUUGUGAUUGCUCCAUUUCCUUAUUGAUUGUGAGGGUGGGUGCUUGUCGCUCUGAAUCAAAGUUAUAUGUCCGAUCCUCUAUUUAUUAAAUUUGUUUUUUUUUUUUUACAUCUAAUAGAAAUUCACUAAUUCAAUCAUUUGUAAUUAAGACUCUAUAUCAUGUCAAUAUCCAAAAAAAAAAAAAAUCAGACCCCUAAAUUAUGACGUGGCAGUCAGUCAUUGGUCGGAUACCCCAUAUACGGCAUCAGCAAGUAAAGGAGUAUAAAAUGCAACGUAAGAGGCUCCCUCACUCCCUCAAAUCUAGUUAGUUUGUUUUGCAAUCUAGUUAGUUUGUUGCAAACAAAGCCCACACGCUAUCUACGCUAGUCCACCGCCUAACCCCAAACCCAAUAUUUUAAAAAACCACGGCGGAAACACGGCAUCGUUUUCCGUCCAAAUGAGCGCCCAAUUGCGCCAAGACCACCAGCCCCUCAGCCAUGACGAAGAAGAAGAAGCCGGCCGCUUAUUACGCUCUCAGUCCUCGUCAGCCUUGCCGUCCUCCUCCGACGACGAUGAGGUGGCGUUCGAGUCGCGGGAGAAGAUCCUGAUCGUCGACGCCGCCGACGACGAUUCGACUGAGGUGCCGCCCUUCUCCUGGAAGAAGCUCUGGCUGUUCACCGGCCCGGGGUUCCUGAUGAGCAUAGCGUUCUUGGAUCCGGGGAAUUUAGAAGGAGAUCUCCAGGCCGGAGCGAUCGCCGGCUACUCUUUGCUCUGGCUGUUAAUGUGGGCCACCGCCAUGGGCCUUCUCGUCCAGCUGCUCUCCGCGCGGCUCGGAGUCGCCACGGGGCGCCACCUGGCGGAGCUUUGCCGGGAGGAGUAUCCCAAGUGGGCCGGGCUGGUGCUGUGGUUCAUGGCUGAGCUGGCGUUGAUUGGGGCGGAUAUUCAGGAGGUUAUUGGGAGUGCUAUUGCUAUUCAGAUUCUCAGCAAUGGCUUUCUGCCGCUCUGGGCCGGAGUUCUCAUUACCGCCUCGGAUUGGUUCGUAUUUCAUUACUUCAGUCUUUGAUUUUAAUUUACUGAGUUUUUUUUUUUAUUUGAUUCGAAUUGGAACUUCGGUUAGCAUAUGAAUUUAGUCAAUGCAUUGGAUUGGAGUACGAUUGUACUACUUUAGUGUGUUGACUAUAUCAUUUUCACCUAAAUCAGCUAUUUUUUUUGUUCUUUCAUACAUGCAUGUUGCUGUGCUAAGUUCUGUUUCGAACUCAAUUAAGUGUUAGUACGAUGAAUUAUGGUUGUGAAUUUAGUGCUUUUUGAUUAAGUGAUAGAAAUGUUUGACGAGUCAAAUGAAUUAGAAUGUACUUGUAAUUCUUCUGUGGUAAUUCAUGUCUUUGGGGACAGUUUUCUUACUUCAUCUUUUGUUGGAUAAGAAUAUAGGGAUAACUCUUUAUUAACUAGGGAUUUCUGUUGUCUCUUUCAUGUAACAGUUUCCUUCUUUUAAUUCUCGAGAACUAUGGGGUGAGGAAGUUGGAAGGUGUUUUUGCAGUUCUCAUUGCAACUAUGGCUUUAUCGUUUGCCUGGAUGUUUGUUGACACAAAACCGAAUGGAAAAGAACUUUUAAUCGGUAAAACUUGUGCUUAUAUUGAAAAUGCUGAGUACGAGUACUGAUAUUUUAUCAGGUGCUGUAUGGAUAGGUAUUUAAAAACUCUCUCCUCCUUGCAGGUAUUCUGGUUCCCAGACUCAGCUCAAGAACAAUUCGGCAGGCUGUGGGAGUUGUGGGUUGUGUCAUCAUGCCACACAAUGUAUUUUUGCAUUCUGCUUUGGUGCAGUCGAGAAAUAUUGAUCCACACAAGAAAGGACGGGUUCAAGAGGCACUGAACUACUAUUCAAUUGAGUCGUCGAUUGCACUUUUUAUCUCCUUCAUCAUCAAUCUGUUUGUCACCACAGUUUUUGCCAAGGGAUUUUAUGGUACUAAACAAGCUGAUAGUCUAGGGCUAGUUAAUGCAGGCCAGUUUCUUCAGGAGAAGUAUGGAGGAGGGCUUUAUCCCAUUCUUUAUAUCUGGGGUGUUGGGUUAUUGGCGGCUGGACAAAGUAGCACGAUAACUGGGACAUAUGCCGGGCAGUUUAUCAUGGGAGGUUUCCUUAAUCUCCGUUUGAAGAAGUGGCUGAGGGCCUUGAUCACAAGGAGCUUUGCAAUAGUGCCAACUAUAAUUGUGGCAAUUGUCUUUAAUACGUCAGAAGGGUCGCUGGAUGUGUUGAAUGAAUGGCUUAAUGUACUUCAGUCGGUUCAGAUACCUUUUGCUCUUAUACCACUUCUCACUUUGGUGUCAAAUGAGCAGAUCAUGGGGGUCUUUAAGAUUGGACCUCUACUUGAGGUAAGCUGUUAGCGUAUUAUUCUAUCUUGUUCGUCUUAUUGUUAAUUCGCAAAUGCAUAUGGUUUAAUGGCUAUAAGGACCCAUUUUGCAUACUUAAUCUUCGACUUUAAGGAUUGCAAUCUUAAACAUGGAAUGAUGUGCUCGGUCUUGGGACUAGAAAAGUAAAACAUGUCGUUGACAAGAUCUGUUCAUCCGAUCUGUGUUAGAUUGUGGUUUGGAUGAGUUGACUUUUAAAUAUUUGAAGUAAUGAAAAUAGUGAGAAAAAUGCUAACUGUUAUUUUGUUUUCCAAAUUAUGAACUGCAGAAAGUGGCCUGGACUGUGGCUGUUUUGGUGAUGGUAAUCAAUGGUUAUCUAUUGCUGGAUUUCUUCAUUGCUGAAGUAAAUGGACUUCUGUUUGGUGUUGUGGUAUGCAGUGGUACGGCUGCAUACUUAGCGUUUAUUAUUUAUCUGGUAUUACGUAGUGGUGCUCUUCCCUCCACUUGUUUUGGUUCGGUGUACAAGAGAUUUGCUGAUACAGACACUUAAACCCAAGACCGUGUAAUAUGAAGAAACUCUGAAUAUAGAACAUGCUGCUGUUCUCACAGCAAGCCAGUUAGGCGCGAGGGUCUUUGAUAUACUCUUUCUGGAGUGAAGCAUUCUUUCACAUAACUGCCUUUAACCCCGGUGCUGCAGUGCAUAUGCUAAAGUGAGUGUACAAAUUUAGACAAUGUGAACACUUUACAUAGUUAUCAACAUGGUAUUUUUUUUUUUUUUUUUUUGAAGAUGGACAUAAACAUUAUUGCAACAUGCAAUUGCAAUGCGUAUUACUUUCACUGUAAAACAUGUAGUUUCUUGACUCCCCCUCUUUUUGAAUUUUAGAAAGAUAGAAUAAAAAUUGCUCUUUGCGCUUUGUUAUUCUUUGAUGUAAAAUGUAGUAGUCCUUCCUGUACCAUAUAGAAACUCAGCAAUGUUGUUCCUCCCCACAGUAUUUAGCUUAGUAUAAAUGAUUACAUGAACUACUGGAAUAGUACCAGAGUACGGCAUACUUUUGGGUGUUUCCGUUGUCAGAUCUACCGAAAAAGCAAAAUAUAGUGAUGGACAAGAAAACGCCGGAGCAUGACUGUGACAGACUCCAUCGUACUGUAGAGGAUCUCGGGUUGGAGUUUUGAAGCUGCUUUGGACCUCAAUAUCAACUAUCAAGUAUCGACAACAAGAUACGGUGCUUGCAUCACAAGCACACGUAACACAUUGAUUCACGCACGAAGCACUGAAGGAACUGACUGGUUCUUCAAUCUAAUUAGUGUCUUGACGAGCAGUGUUUUGACGCUUACAUGAAAACAGAGAUUAGAGGCAAAUCAGACAAUACAAUUAAACGCAAUAUUCAAGAGUUGUCAUUAACUAUUAAGUUCAAGAUAGUCAACAAGGCAAUACAGUCAAAAAUUUAAAAAUUUAUUACACGUUGCGAAGACUAGAUUAUUGUAAUUUUUGCUUAGGUAGUAAAUAAAGUUAUAUCUAAUCAAUAAGAAAAAUACAGUCAACUCACGAAGAAGAAAAGUUUAAAUCUCAAAAGCUAAAUUUUUGUAAUUUUUCUUAAAAAGUAAUAAAGUUACUUGUAAUCAAUAAAAACAAUACAGUCAACCAUAGACGCGUUUCAAAGACUGAUGCAUGAUUUGACAUCUAGUCGUUUGAAUGAGUAUAAAUUUCUACCAUAUAAUGGAGAGUUAUCAUCACAUGACCCCACUAGCUUAAACAAAUAAACUCUAUGUCACAUCAGCUGUCACAUUGUGUAAAUUGAUUGUGUAUAGUGUAGGUGAACAAAUUUAAUGACGGUAGUACUGAAAUAGCCGAAGUAAGAAGCCCAAAUCGACCUGGGCACCCCGCGCGUCCCCGCCAUUCUCCUCCGAAACCCAAAUCCGCGAGACACGCGUAACGUUCCCACUGGACAACAUCAAUCAUCGAUCUCACUCGUACAUGCGAACAAAAAGCGUACUUGAGAAGCCCACACGCGGAUUGCCUAAAAGCUUUUUAUUCCAAAAAAGAAAAAGAAAUUAAAAAAACAAUAAAUGCAUAGCGAAUUGAGGGAAAGAGGUACGCCUCGUCGCUUUUCCUCGCAUGUAAAUCUUUCCAUAAAUUGCAUGCAUAACUCAAACUCUCUCUCUCUUCCUCACCAGUCUCAUCAGUCCAAAGCUUUUCUCCCCUACCGCACUCAAAAAUCUCAUAUAUAAAUCCCCCCUCAUAUCCCUAAUCCCUCAUUAAACCCAGAGAAACCAAACCCAACCAGAACCAAACCCUCAAACAAACCCUUUUCACACCUAUACAAAACAAAACCCAGUUUCUCUUUCACUCUUCGUUUUAGAAACAAUGGAGGGUUUCGGCUACUUCACCGAUACGACGUCGCAGACCCCUUCUUCUUAUUCCGAUCAAUCCCUAGAAUCCGCUUUCUCUCGCCUCAACGUCUCCUCCUUCAGCCAGCCGCCGUUUUCCGGCGUCGGUUACAGCUCCGGUCCGGCGCCGAAAUACCCAUCACGCCGCAAUGAGCCCACUUUUCUUGAUGAUGGGGUUCUUGGUCGUUUGGGUCUAGAAGACUGCUGGGUUGGUGGCUCUGGUACUGAUCAUGGCUUUGGUGGGUUUGGUUCGAAUUCAAAUUCGAAUUUACACUCUGACAUUGCCACAAAUUGGUCCCAAGAACCACUGAACAGCUUGUCUGUGGCGGAUUUGCGAGGAAAGAUUGCGUCUUUGGCGAAGGAUCAAUACGGGUGUCGGUUCUUUCAGAAAGCCAUGGAUGAUGAGCCCAAGGAGUUUACAGAUAUGAUAUUUGCAGAGGUGGUGGAGAAUGUGGGGCAUUUGAUGCUCGACCCGUAUGGAAAUUAUGUGGUGCAGAAGCUUGUGGAGGUCUGCAGUGAGGAGCAGAGGACCCAGAUUCUGUUGAGGUUGACCAAGAAUCCGUUUCUGUUCAUCACUCUCUGCCUUCAUAGCCGUGGGUAUGAAUCAGAGCCUUUUCUUCUUGUUUUGUGUAUAAUGUGAAUAGUGUUAGUGAUUCUUGUUUGAUUGAUUGGUAAGCUAAUCGGGUUUUCGGACUUGUGGCAGGACUCGGUCUGUUCAGAAACUGAUGAAGAAGAUCAGUACCCGAGAUCAAAUUUCUUUGUUUGUGAGUGCACUAAGCUGUGGUGUGGUUGACCUCAGUAUGAACAUAAAUGGUCAACACAUUAUAGAAUACUGCCUGAAGAACUUCGCAGACAAACACAAAAGGGUAAUGUUGUGUCUCUUUAGGCAAUUUGCAACCACCUUGUUAUGUUGUUUAUAUUACUCUUAAUUACAUGUUGUGUUUGAAAUUGAUUCUUGACAAUUUUACAACCAUGAGUUAUAAUCGGCCAGCUUGCAAACGGUUGUGUUUCUUCUGGCUGGUUACUGAGGCUUGUACUUAAUCAGAUUAAGCACUUAAACUGAUUGUGGUGUCAUGUGUUACACAUUUUCGAUAGAGAUUGUGGUUGAUUUUGCAUCUCCUUUCAGAUGGAUUUGAUGAAGUCUCUGUUGGCAUGUCACAGUAUUUGUAUGGUUCACAAAAAUAAAUCUAGGCAAGGAAUUGUUUCAUUGUUAGCAACCAGCCUAUGCAUCAUGUGUAACUUAUGUUCUAAGUUUAACGAAAAGUUGCUAUAUGCUCAACAUGCGUAUGUGUUAUUGUUGUCUUGAGUCCAGUCAGCUCUAGGAGGUCCUAUAUUUCCUGAUUUCUAGCUCCAUCCUGAUGGCUGGUGCCGAGCAUCACCACUUGUUGAGUAUUUUCUCUUGAUCUUUUUAAAUGAUGAGCUCUAGAAGAUCCACAGCUUGAGUGAAAAUACUGGGAGUUUAGCCUGUUAGACUUGAAAGCAAGAAACAUAUCAUCCAUAUAACUAAAAUUAGUUGGCUACUCAACAAUGCCCUGUUGUUACUCUGUCUUUGUCUUUGUAGUCAGUGUACUAUUGAUCAAAUAGUGUUUGACUAUGGCCAUUUUAUUUAACAAUGGUGAUACAUUUCAUCUCAAACUUAAUAAUUUAGAAUUUUGCCUCAUUAUUUGUAAGCUGAGAUGCAUGAUGAAAAUCAUGUUCAGAUGCUCAUAAAAUGUUUGGUGCUCAACAAGCUCCAGUCUUUAUAUGUUGCAAAAGUGAAUGCUUUGAGCAUUUUAUUAUUAGACCUUCAGUCUGCUUCCUCUGAAUUCAGGUCAUUGGGUAUUGAUUAUUUACUACAUGUUGAUUGCAGUGUCUUCUGAACGUGAUGAUUGACAACUGUAUUAGCAUUGCAAAAGAUAAGGUCGGUUGUUGCGUGCUACAACAGUGUAUCGAUUACUGUUAUGGAGAAACAAGAGGACGUUUGAUUGCUGCUAUAAUUGGAGAAGCAUUAAGCCUAGCACAAGAUCGUUAUGGGUUUGUCUCCAUGAAACUUUGUCAAUACUUCUCAUACAGUGUGAUCAUGACCUUUACUCAGUGAUUACUUUUAAUUCAAUGUGUUUAUUUUUUCUUACUUCCCUAGAAACUAUGUGCUGCAACAUUUACUUGGGUUAAAGACACCUCAAGUCACAUCAUCUCUUCUGAGACAGUUUCAAGGGAAUUAUAUGUUUCUCUCCUGCGGCAAAUAUGGUAGUAAUGUUGUGGAGAAGUGCUUGUUAGAGUCAGAAGAGGAACAGUCUGCCGAUAUUAUUAGAGAGUUGUGUAUAAGUCCGAACCUUUCAAUGCUUCUUAUGCAUCCUUUUGGAAACUAUGUCUUCCAGACCGCACUGUCAGUUUCUAAGGUUAGUUUGUCUAAAACUUCAGUGUGUUUAAUAUGUCGGCUAGAUGAAUAUACUUCUUAAAUCCUGAUAACUGCUUAGGGUGAAUGGUCUCAUACUACCUCUCCAACUAACAAACGAUAAUAUCUAUUCAUUAUGCUCACUAUUAUUUCAGACAAUAAUUCUUUCUUAUGACUUAUAUCUCAGUAAGGGAUACCUCAUAUGUCAUACCUGCAUCAGUAAAUUUUAACUAGCUGUCUGUCCAAGCACAAAUGACUUGAAAUAAUGACUGUCAACUUUGGAUUCAUUGUCAUCAAGUUUAAGCAAAACACAUGUAUAUCACUUUAUAAUGCUUGGUGAAAAUUUAGACCUUUUUCUUUUCUAUUCUAGUUUUAAAAGUUAUCAUCUAAAACAGUUUAGCGUAAAUUGUCAAAGGCUGUAGUCUGUAGAUACUGUAUUUUGUAACUUUAAUUUCCCAGCAGGUGAUGUAUCUAUUUCUAAAUAUAGUUCCAAUUAUCUCUGGAGCCUAUAUUUGAUUAAACUCUAACAUGUUGGCUUUGAUGUGUUGCAGGGUCUCGCCCAUGCUUUUCUCUUAAAUCUGGUUCAACAAUACACUCCUGCUUUGCUCAGCAAUCAAUAUGGAAAAAGGGUGCUUGCUUGGCGUGAAAGGAGCUUGCGACGUAUGUAGACAACUAGAUAUGUACAACUAUGAGGUAUUAGCUGUUUCUAUUACUCUGUCCUAUUUAAAAAUUUCAUUUUCUAUGGUUGAUUUCCUCACUCCUAUUUGUAUCAUUAGUUUGUAGGAUACCUUCUGAAGUAAUUUUCUAGGGAUGGAAGGAUUUGUUCAUCUGAAAACGGAUACACUGUAAUGGAUAAUCGGCAGCUGCAUAGAAGCUAACCUACUUUUGGCAUAGCAAGGGAGAUCUUUGAGAAAGGGAUGUUCUUAAACUACAAUGUCUGUUCUUAAACUGUAGAGUUUUGUAAUCUUCCCCUGCUGAUUGUUGUACCAAUUGUUACAUUAACUACAAGGCAAUACUAUGUUGAAAUUGUUUCUACUUUCUAGUUUCAUCUGCCCUCCUGCCUCCCGUUCAGUCUUGAUCUACAUUCUAGAAUUUUUAUUUAUUUAUUUAUUUAUUUUUUUAAGUUUCUAAGUGAUUGAAAAGAUUUUGGUCAAUGGUGAAGUUUUAGCAAAAUCUGUGAAAUAUGUACAAUGAGAUAAAUUUUCCUUCUUUUUCUAAGCUCAGAAAUGUUAAUCUCAAGCCCCAUGUAGAAGCUUCAUCAAUUUCAGAUGGAGUUUUUUUUUUUUUUUUUGAUAAAAUAAGUUGUUUGGCUUCUGAUUAUACAUUUUGUCUUCGAUAAUUACAUUCUCGAACUUGAAAGGGAAAACGACUGGAAUGGAGAAUGAAAGAAUCCGUUAGAAUGAUUACUAAACUCAUGUCCUUCUUUGGUUAUCAAGAAGUUACUGCAGUCAUUUCCUCCCAUUUUAAAAAUGCGAAUGCACCUAAUCCGACCAUUGUUCGUCGGCACAUCAUUAUCCCCAAACUGUGUGUGUUGUGAAGAAGUCAGUAAAAAAAAAAAUAAUAACAACCUGUCAGUAAAAAAAAAAACAAAGAUAAAACAAAAACGGAGAGAUGUGAUAUAUAUGCCAAAACUUCUUCCUUCCCGUGUGUGAAGCACCAAGAAAAAAUCCCCAAUUUCCAAACUCACCAAACCCUAAUCCUCCGUCUCAUCUCCCAAUCAAUUCUCCCCAAUUCCCAAUCGAUCUUCCCCCAAACCCAUCGAAUCGUUCUCCCUUAACCAGCGAAGAUGGUGUUGGCGGAGCUAGGAGGGAGCAUCUCCCGUGCUCUCCAGCAGAUGAGCAAUGCGACCGUGAUCGACGAGAAGGUCCUCAACGAGUGCCUCAAUGAGAUCACACGCGCUCUUCUCCAAUCCGAUGUGCAAUUCAAGCUCGUCCGCGACAUGCAGACCAAUAUCAAGAAGAUCGUCAAUUUGGAAGAUCUCGCUGCUGGUCACAACAAGCGUCGCAUCAUCCAGAACGCCAUUUUUAAUGAGCUCUGCAAAAUGCUUGAUCCUGGGAAGCCAUCCUUCACUCCCAAGAAGGGGAAGCCCAGCGUCGUUAUGUUUGUUGGUUUGCAAGGUAAUAAUGCUUCUGUUUCGGCUAAUACAUAUUUAAGUUUCGCGAUCCGAUUUGAACUGAUUGUAUACUGCUUAGACAUCUUAUGAUUAUUCAUGUUGCUCGUAACGUUUUUGAAGCAUUUGGCUGGUGUGUGUAGCUUGUGUUAUUCUGUCUUUGUUGUAAGGAAAUGUUGCUGUCUCUGUAUUCGGCUUGGUUUUUGAUAAUAUAUUUUGAAUUGAUUCGUGCGGAUUGUGUGAUAUGUAUGUUCAGGGUCUGGAAAGACUACGACUUGUACGAAGUAUGCUUAUUAUCAUCAGAAGAAGGGCUGGAAGCCUGCCCUGGUGUGUGCGGAUACUUUCCGAGCUGGUGCAUUUGAUCAGUUGAAGCAGAAUGCUACCAAGGCGAAGAUUCCGUUCUAUGGAAGCUAUAUGGAGUCUGAUCCUGUGAAGAUUGCGGUGGAAGGAGUGGAGACUUUUAAGAAGGAGAAUUGUGAUCUUAUAAUUGUUGAUACCAGUGGGCGUCACAAGCAGGAGGCUGCUCUUUUUGAGGAGAUGCGGCAGGUGGCUGAAGCGACGAAACCGGAUCUUGUUAUAUUUGUUAUGGACAGCAGUAUUGGUCAGGCUGCGUUUGAUCAAGCUCAAGCGUUUAAGCAGAGUGCUGCGGUUGGUGCUGUUAUUGUUACCAAAAUGGAUGGUCAUGCAAAGGGAGGUGGUGCUCUUAGUGCUGUUGCGGCGACAAAGAGUCCUGUUAUAUUUAUCGGAACAGGAGAGCAUAUGGAUGAGUUUGAAGUUUUUGAUGUUAAACCGUUUGUCAGCCGUCUCUUAGGCAUGGGUGACUGGUCUGGGUUUAUGGACAAGAUUCAGGAAGUUGUUCCUAAACUGGACAACCAGCCAGAGCUUCUGCAAAAGCUUUCGGAAGGGACCUUCACGCUGAGGAUUAUGUAUGAGCAGUUUCAGAAUCUGCUUCAAAUGGGUCCACUUAGCCAGCUUACUUCAAUGCUUCCAGGUGCUGAGUUAAUGCCUAAAGGUAAUGAUAAGGAAAGCCAGGCCAAAAUCAAGCGGUACAUGACCAUGAUGGACUCGAUGACAAAUGAAGAGUUGGACAGCACAAAUACAAAAAUCAUUACCGAGUCUCGGAUAGUGCGAAUAGCACGAGGUUCUGGUCGUCUAGUGAGAGAAGUGAUGGAAAUGUUUGAAGAGUACAAGCGCCUUGCGAAAAUAUGGAGCAAAAUGAAAGGACUUAAGAUUCCCAAGAAGGGACCAAUGAGUUCACUAAACCAAAACAUGAAUGCACAGCAAAUGAGCAAAGUCCUACCUCCUCAGAUGUUGAAGCAGAUUGGUGGCAUGGGUGGCUUACAGAACUUGAUGAAGCAAAUGGGUGGUAUGGGUGGUUUGGGUUCUGCUAAAGAUAUGAUGGGAAUGCUCGGAGGCGGGGACAAAUAGAUCUUGACGACAUUUCUGUAAUUCGUCGAAUCUCCCUAAAGUUACUGAAGGCCUGUGUGAGCAGAGAGCAUAGCGUCCUGGGACUGAAUCGCGCAAUCCUUUUUUUUUUAUAAUUUGACAAUUCACAGGAUACUGUUAGCUACUUUGCCAAAGGAUAUUUACCAGCAACUAUUCUCCCAGGCAUCUCUCUCGAUUUGCUUUAGUUUUCUCUUAAAUUUACAGUAGCAAUACUAGUUUGGUUAUAACAGUAAUGUGUUUAAACACAAAUAAUGUGUUUGUAUCAGUUACCUUCUUUCUUUGUACUUGUUAUUGUCUCCUUCUGGCUUUUGAUGAACUUCUCAGAGAUUGGAAUCUUGUCUCUUAUAUUUGGUGGCCAACGAUGAACUUCCCAAACUUUGAAGGAUUCUCUCGUAUAUACUGUUAUACACCAUAGUACAGUAUUCAAAUUCUGUGACUUGAGUUUCACUGUUACUUGAGCUGACGUGGCGUUAGCAGAUUGGAGACUAGUUUAACAGAAACACAACCCGCCCCGAAAGCUAUAUAACAAACAAAAAGGAAAGAAAAUGAAAAAUCCAAAUUGACUAAUCAAGGUCCUCCUCUGCGGACUCCAAAUCGGAACCUCAUGGCUCGGAGGUUGGUGGUCCUUCUAAUCUACUCCGUCGUACUCAACUUUUGUGGCGCGUUUGCUUCAACCGCCGACGAUCACCGUCGUCCGAUGAUCCUCCCUCUCCAUCUCACGUCCCCCGACGACGCUCGCCACCACCGGCGAGCCUUCGACGGUCGGCGACUCCAGAGAUCGGAGCCCAACGCGCACAUGAGGCUCCACGAUGAUCUCCUCGCCAACGGGUUUGACUCUCUCUCUUGUCAAUUUUCUCUAGCUUUUUUCCAGCUCUGGUACUGAAUUGAAGGUUGUGGAACUCGGAAAUGGAAUCAGGUACUACACGACGCGGCUGUGGAUUGGGACGCCGUCUCAGAUGUUCGCUCUGAUUGUGGAUACUGGGAGCACUGUCACUUACGUGCCUUGCUUCGACUGCCAAGAGUGCGGUAAACAUCAGGUUCGGCUUCAUUUUCAUGCUCCACUUAGUCUUAAAUUUAGUUAAUUUCGUUAUUAAUGUGAUCAAUUUUCAAUUUUUGUUUACUGCAAUUGAUUAAAACUAAGUGUGAAGGUAGGAACCAAGAGAAUGCGAAAUCAGAUUCACUAGUUUUGCUGUAUUUCCUUCAUUUGUUUUGUAAGAGCCGAAAAGUUAUGUGUGUGUACUUCUGCUGUCAAUGUAGUGCAUCUUAUUCAACUUGUGCGUUACAGCUCUAAUUUAUUAAUGGCGCAGUCUCUCUUUGUUUUGAAUGUUUGAUUAGUUCGUGUGCGUGCCAGCUGAACAAAUUUUGGUAUGCAGGACCCUAGGUUUCAACCUGAUUUGUCUACCACGUACCAACCUGUAAAGUGUAAUAUUAAUUGCAACUGUGACGAUAAAGGAAAUCAAUGCACGUAUGAGAGGCGCUAUGCUGAGCAGAGCUCUAGCAGUGGUGUGCUUGGUGAAGAUGUCAUUUCUUUUGGCAAUGAGAGUGCGCUUGUGCCCCAGCGUGCUGUUUUUGGUUGUGAGAAUAUGGAAACUGGUGAUCUUUACAGCCAACGUGCCGAUGGCAUAAUGGGUUUGGGUCGUGGUCAGCUUAGCGUGAUGGACCAGCUUGUUGAUAAGGGUGUUAUUAGUGAUUCAUUUUCAUUGUGUUAUGGAGGAAUGGGUGUAGGUGGGGGUGCUAUGGUUCUAGGGGGGAUUAAGUCGCCCCCGGAUAUGGUAUAUACCCAUUCUGAUCCUUUUCGCAGGUAUGUACCUUUUAUAAUGCCUUUCACUUAGGUUUGUUUUACUAAGUAAUGUGUUUUGUUCAUCUCACACAUAUACUUUAGUUUUGGGGCAACAGUCCAUAUUACAAUAUUGAACUGAAGGAGAUACAUGUGGCUGGAAAGGCUUUGAAGUUGAAUCCAAAGGUGUUUGAUCAAAAGCAUGGAGCUGUCCUGGAUAGUGGAACUACAUAUGCAUACUUUCCAAAGGAUGCAUUUGUUGCAUUUAAGGAUGCUGUAAGAUUUCAUCUUUUGAGUCUCGUCCUGCCAUGGUGUCUUUUUUUGUUUUUUGGUUUUUGGUAAUUCACUUUAUAUUGUAAACAAGCUUUCAACAAUUAAGUGAUGGUACGUUGUUUCUUUUGGCAAUGUGCAGAUUAUGAAGGAAAUUCAUUUCCUCAAACAAGUCCAUGGUCCUGACCCAAAUUAUAAUGAUAUUUGUUUCUCAGGUGCUGGAAGGUAAUCCUCUGGGAAAUUUACAUCAAGUUAUGUACCUUGGUUUACUUAAAGUUUUUUUUUUUCCCAUAUGUCUGAAUGUUUAACACGGAAUUCUGUUUUAGGGAUGUCACCCAACUAUCAAAAGUUUUUCCACAGGUUGAUAUGGUAUUCAGCAAGGGAAAGAAGUUUUCACUGUCUCCUGAGAACUACUUGUUUCCGGUAAUUUGAUUACUAUUAUACUUGAGCAUGUUUCCGGGAAAUCAUUAAAGACUUGUGUCAUAUAAAAUUUGCUUGAAAAUGGUUUUUGAGGCCUUUGUUUGUUGCAUAUCUAAUUUCUGUUGAACUCUCUCUAUCAAUCAUCAUCUUAGAAAAUAUCAAACUCACUCUAAUAACUAAAAAUAUUGAAAUAAAAAAGUUAGUAUAUGAUGAUUCUGCAUAAAUUCUUUUUAAUGAGUACCUGCAAUGCCGCUCAUUUAUAACUAUUGUAUUUUCACGUUACAUGCAUCCUCUUCUCGAUUCUAGAUUAAACCCAUCCUGUUGCACACAACACUUUUGCCUGAUGUUUAUGAUCUUUAUCAAUUGUAUAAUGUUUAAUACACUGGUUCUAUGUGUUUGUUUAUGUGAUUGCUCCUCCCAAAAGCAUACAAAGGUUAGCGGGGCUUAUUGCCUGGGAAUUUUUGAAAAUGGGGAUUCAACCACCCUUUUAGGAGGUUUGUGGGACUUUCUUUUCUCACUCUCUCUCUCUCUCUCUCAUGAUUUAAUCUUUUCUACAUUCUUAUGUGAGCAAUGUGUUGUGUACAUAUUGCAAAUAACACAUUCUUUGAACAACUAUGGUAGCUUACUUUAUGUUGGAUUCGACAGGAAUUCUUGUACGUAAUACUCUUGUGACUUACGAUCGGGAGGACAAUAAGGUUGGUUUUUGGAAAACAAAUUGUUCUGAACUAUGGAAGAGCUUAAGUCAUGAGAAUGCUCAGGCCCCAGCCCCAGCUUCUAAUGACUGGAAUUCGAGUGGAGGGAUUUCUCCUGACAUUGCCCCAGGGGGAUUACCUCCAACUGAUCUACCUCCAAUUGAUCUUCCAGGUAGAGUAAGAAAUUAGUUGAAAUUAGCCGGUAGAGGAAGGAUAACCUCACCUGUCAUGCAUUUGAGUAUACUUUUCCCUCUGCAACUUUGGCAAUUGUUUUGCGUCAUUUGAAAUAAUUGAUAUGUAGGUGAAGGCCAAAUAGGGCAGAUAAGUUUCGACAUGAUGCUCAACAGCAGCUCCUCUAUGAAACCUAACUUCACAGAACUCUCAGAGUCUAUUGCCCGUGGGCUAGAAGUCAAGAUUUCUCAGGUACAGUGAGCUGUUUUAUCUUUCAAAUUUAAGUAUAAUGUUCAUGAAGCAGAUUUUAUUCCUCAUCAUCCUGUCAGGUACUUUCAUUCUUCACAUUUUAUUACCAGUUGCUGUCUUAGGGAGGUGAUUCUGCAUGGGGGGUUAGGGAUCUUGGUUACCUGAACAAUGUAGCAUCUUAAGAGUGAAGUACACAUAAGCUCAACUAUGAGAUCCAGAUUUCAGCAUCAAGCUGUUUUAAUUAAACAAGACAAAAUGGCUCAGCUUCCAUUAAGGAGAUAUAACAAUAUUAAAAAUAAACAAAUCAAUUCUAUGCUGUGAAUUCGGUUACCUGAACAGACUCUUGUUCUUGUCAUUGGACCUAUAUAAACUUAAUUUUGGGGUCAUUCAUCUUCAUCCUUAACCUGCAAUAACCCAAUUGAUUCCACCUAUUGUGUCCUUACUUUUCUGAAUAUUCUUUUCUCUUGUAUAUGGAUUAUAUUAGCAUUGGCAACAAAAUUUCCUUUUCAGGUUCACUUGAAGAACUACACCAUUUCAGGACCUGAUUUACUCAUUAGGUGGACCAUCGUUCCUGAUGAAUCUGCCAAUAGCUUUACUACUGAAAAAGCAAUGGUAAAUUCUAUUCUUGUUCUGUAGUACAUGCGCUGGAUUUGGAGCCUCUUCCAUCUGCUGACUACAAUGUCAACCCAAUUCUUGUUGAUUUCAGGACAUAAUACUGCGUUUAACGAGACAUGAGAUGCAGCUACCCCAUAAUUUUGGGAGCUAUGAGCUGGUCAAAUUGAAAUUUCAAAGAAAGCAGUAUGUGAUUUCCUAGUCUUUCCUUUUAUUUUCUGAUAAAGUCACAUCCAAAACCAAUUGGCAACGGAUGGAGUGACCCAAACCCUUAUAAACCCACAAGCAAGGUGGUCCAUAUUCCCGAUGUGGGAUUCAUAUCUCAACAUUUUCCAUCCCUAAAAACAAUUGCUUCUCACUCAUCUGGUUCUAGCUCUAAAAGCCAAUUGAAAAUAUAAGCUGUUGGAAGUCUGCAACAAAUGUUUUUGUGCAAAUUAUUUUCAUUCCAUUAAUUGGAUUGUUCCGGAGAAUUGCAGGUCAUGGUGGGAGCAAAAUUCUUGGAUGGUAGCAGUUGGAGUUUCAGUUGCAUCGGUUCUUGGACUAUUAGCAUUAGGGACAUGGUUGGUUUGGAGAUACAGAUCACAACGGGGCGUUUCUUAUGAGCCUGUUGAUGGCGUUGCUGGUGCUAUUGUUGCCGAGCAAGAACUUCAACCCCUAAAAUGAAAUUCUUUAUUUUGGAUAGCAGUUUGAAUUUCUCUGCGGAGACACUGCUUUAGAGCGUUAGACUUAGCUUUGAAACUGUACAUAUGGGUGCAGUGAAGCUGAGGAGAUGAUAUGCGCAAUCCCUCCGUGAUUCAUUAACUGUACAUUCAGUGUACAGUAUAGGAAAGUGGAAAGGCGAGUAGGUAACAUUAUACAGAUAAUUCCUUGAUUCUGUCACUUCGUGGUAUAAGUUCUGAAGAACAAGUGACAACAAGUGAGGAUGGUGAACUUGUUUAUAGGUGUCUCGAGGCUUUAGUGACACUUCUAGUGAACCAAAAGAAGAGAUCACAGAUUAUACUUUACUUCUCUUUUUCUUGUUUCUCCCCUAGUUUUUUGUCAUCCGUUGUGUAAUCAAAGCUUGGAACUUCCAACAUAGUACUUCAAUUUUUGCUAGCUAUAUGUGCUUAAUAGAUUGAACUUCAAGUAUUUUCGUUUUUUUUUUUUCUUUUCCGUUUUUUCUUUGGGUCGUUCUUAGUCGAAAUCCUCAUUGACGGUGGACUUGAACUCAUUGGAUUGGGGCCUAGAUAACAGCAUCCUAUUUAUGUUUUGGUACUAAAGGUUUAUAACUUCAUAUUUUCAGGAACUGAUAUCAUUUAUACACAAUAUCAGUACUUGUCAAUAUAUAUAAUAAAGUAUCAUUGAUGCUUGCGUUAAUGCCAUUGGUGACAUGGGUCCUAUAAAUAAAUGUUAUCAAUGUUCAGUUUGCAUUCCUCAUUAUCAUUUCAUUACUCCAUGUCAUAUGACUCAUAUCUGGGUGAUGUGAUACAUUUCUUCUGGUAAUUGUUAUACAAGAAAAUUUGCCUACUUUUACGGUUUUACCCAACAUAAUAUGCUAUAUUUUGUCCUUAAACGGUAAAAUCCCAGUCCCCGUCCACCCAAAACUAGGAUUUUUCAUGCUUAAAACAGCUGGAUAGUACUGUCCUGAUUCCUUUUCUGUGUGUCAAUUAUAGUAGUGUCCUAGCAAGGCGGCACAUCUUUCAUGCUUCAAUGUCUCACAAAGCAAAGCAACGCAACAACCAGAUCUAUACGUACUAGAUAUGAACUUUUAAGAAGACUUGACUUAGCGGUACAUCUCAUCUUGGCUGCUUUUCCAUGCUUCGUUCGCUUGGACAAUUGGUUUUACGUUAGAGUUCCGAAACCGAAAUCGAAAAGAGAUGGAAAAGAAAACUGAACUACUGAUGAGGAAGACUGAAACAGUGAAAUUCAUAACAUAAAACGGUACCGGACAUCGGCUUAUUCGCAACGGAAUGAAAUAAUUAUGCUACUUAGCUAGCUCUAUGUGCGUUAACAUUUGUUAACAUUUUAUUUUACGGGUCCGAGUAACCGAGAAGUACACACAAACAUAGAUAUACCAACACCACGUACAGAUGAAAGCAACCACCAUAGAUGAAGAAGCUUGUUAUCAGUGAUCAAGGGCACUUGGGGUCACCCUUGGAGUUCUUGAGGUCCCUGUAGCAAGGGCAUUCGUCCUUGUUUCCGUAAGUCCCAGAUGGAACACAGUUGCAUUUAUCGCAGCAGAUUCCACAGUACUUCAAGCACCGCUCUUUGUAUCCGGCUUUCGAACAUCUCACCCCGCACUUUGAGUCACAGAAAUCUGUAUAUGAAAUCAGACCGUAACUAAGAAGUAAGAACACAAUCGAAAAGAAAGAGAGAUCGAAACAAAAGAAACAAUACGAUCGAGAUGAUGAAGCUAGCUAAGAAAGAAUCUUACGUGAACCGGCCAUUGUGGUCUCAAACACAGAAGAGCCUAGAACAAGGAAAACAAGCAUGAAGGUUGCGAAGACGAGCUUCAUUUUUGCCUAGCUAGAACAAACAAGAGAUAGUUGGAUGGAGAUGAACGGAAGAGGCUAGCUAAUUGGUGUGAUUAUAGUGUUGAAGUGGUUUCUGAAACGUUUUGGUGUAUGUUAUAGGGGUUAGAGUGCGAAGGUAUUUAUAGUGAGCUAAGCUAUCGUGGUAGGUAAAGGGUUUGGGAUGCGUUAUUACUGUGGAGAUUAAUAAAAAUCAACUACAUACCAGGACGUAGAUUAUAAGCAUUAGCAAAAAUCUGAGGAAGGCUAUACCUCCAAAGAAACUAGAUUUGUUAUACAGCAGACUACAGGCUGUAGAUCAUGAACAAAACAAUUCAAUUCGAUGGUUACGUUUUCUGACUAAACAGGAAAAAAAAAAAAAAAAAAAUAGAUCCAUCAAUUAUUGGAUUAAGACUGAAAAUUGUAGCAUCCAUUAAUCAAAUUAAGUUGAUGAAUGCAAUAUGAAGCAUAAGUUUAACUAACUGGGGGUCCAAAAGAUAAAACCGAAAUUAAUAAAAGAAGGCUACGAUGCAUUACAAUUUGAUGAGUGAUGACUAAUUUAACACAUUCAAAAUUACAUUCAUUAGUUUACAAAUGACUGGUUCAUCUUUUAUUGAAGAGAUUACCAUGUAGUUACCGACCGCAUCACAACGUUGAUACCAUAGUAGUCCAUGUUAAUAACAUUCAAGCACGCAUGUCAAACACAUGACGGAGUACAUGCUCGUCAAGUAAUCUGCUGAUAUAUGGAGGCAGCGGUGGUUUGAGAAUACCUUACAAUUACAAUUUGUUACAAAUUUGUACAACUAAGACUAUAAGACUUAGAAGAUGUGUUAAAUUACCAACAUCUUCAUAAUCCUAGCUAAGCUUGAACAUUGUUAAUUAGAAUAAAUUGGAUGUCAAUGGAUUCAAACCACUCCAAAGUUCAAGAACUCUCCAAAGUUCAAGACAGGAGAAGAGAAGGAAGCUUCAAGCAACCAUUGCUUUAAGGCAAAUGGGCAUGCUCAUGGUACCUUCCACCAAAGGAGGUGGACACUUGGGUUGGUCGGCCCCGUUUCUUUCCACUUUAGUAAAAUGUGGUAUGUUCUGUCAUGUGAAAACCUCCCCCAUUAGGCUAUUACCCCUCACACCAAAGCCAACUCUGCCAGCCAUAACAUCUUUUGACGGAAAUCUAAAUAAUGUGGAUUACUUGGUCGAUUGAAGACUUAAUGAUUUGUGGUUAAAGUAUGUCUCGAACGUAGUUGGGAUUAAAUCGACCCAUAAAUACAACGUAACAUCGGAUUUAUGAUCUUUUAUCUAAUACACGAGAUGUUUAAAUCGUUGAACCCUAAAUCUAAGCCACACGUAACAUUAACAAGAAACUAAUUUAAGAAAUGACUAUAUGAACCGGGGGUUUGUCUCCCAUACCAUAUGGUAUGGAUAUAACAUAUAUAUUGCAAAUGUAUCUAAUUGUGUGGUACAUGUGAGCUUUUGAAGAGGCAAAUGGUCAUUUAGUUGUUUCUUCAAUCAAUGAUAGCCACACAUUUUGUGAGACAUGCUAUACCAUAUAAUAUACUAAAAUUUUCCCUUGAACUGUUAUGUUUGUAACUUGCAAGGAAGAUAUAUGGAAGGUGGUGGUUUUAUUACAUCAUCCGCACGGUUUUUAAAACGUGUGGGUAAAGUGGUCCAUGCUCUUAAGGCAAGGAAUACAUCAUUAUCAAAUUGAAAUUGAUACAUGAAGAAGUUAAGGUCCAAAUCCAAACCAGACAAAGCCCUCAUCUGGUGAAAUCACAACAAAUGGCCCAACUAGGGCUAACUAAGCACACUAUUCAUUCAAUUACCAUGUUAACAAGAUCACACUAUCUUCAAUCUUGGGUGGUUGAUAUCAUGCUCCAAUUCCAGCUAAGUUUUAGUGUGUCUUUUUCAUGACAAGAAUUAAAACAAAGAAGAAUAUCAAUUUCAAGAAAUCAAUUUUUUUGUUCCAAACUCAUAUUUGGAUGCAGAGCACAAUGGUGAAAGGUUGCUUUCCUUGCCAGUUUGUUACAGCUUCCACGUGAGAGUGAAAGGAAUGAUUUCACCACCCAAAAUUGGAAUAUUUGUGGUGUUCCAAUUUGGGGUCCUUUUGGAGAGAAAAUGGCAUUAUUUUGUUUUUGUUCAAAUAAACUUUAUUGGGCUCCACUACUCAUUUUUGGGCCUCUAAUUAUUAUUAUGAACUUUUGUGGGCUCAGGUAUGUCUUAAGAGGAAACGGUCCAUAAUUUGUUUGGUGGCUCUUAUGAGCCCAAGAGAGAAAUAUAUUUGAGUAUUUUCUGAAUCAUUCCGGGCCCAGUCGUCUAGGAGGGAAAUUUGAUCAUCUAUGAUAAACCACUAUUUCAUAUUCAAUGUUUGAUUGUUUCUUUUGCUAAGAAAGAGACUGUGUGAGGAGGAAGAAGAAUAGGAGAGCGAGAUGAAGAAGACAAAGAAGGGAUCAAGUGAAGAGACGAGAACGCCACCUGAGUUUAACAUUUACGAGAAUGCCACCUGAGUUUAACAAAUGUUAAUAGAGUUAACGGCCAAAUUCCAAUAGCCAUGUUGGGUCAGGGCGGAAUGACUUUAACAUGUUAGGUUAAAGUCAAGAUAUGACACAAAUCCUUAAUCAUCAUUACUACAAUAGAGGCACGAGGUAAGAAAAUUCACAAAAAUGUGAACUAUCAUAAUUAUCUUUAAUGAGUCAACUAAAACAAAUAUAAACAAUAAAGGCUAAGAAAAUUCAUCAAAAUAUGAAUAACAAAUCACAUAUAUAUCCUCCAAAAGAAUUUGAAACACAAAUAAAUCCAUUUAUGUUGUUGUUAAACAAAUAAGGACAGUUUUUAACAAUUAAUGACAAUCUUUUCUCUGCAUACCAUGUGUCAUGGUUUAAUUUACCAAAUUAACCAUAUACUAAUUAAAUAUGCUUUUAGAAGAGAAAAGUCUCAUAUUUUGAGAUUUUUCAGUAAGUGAAAUACAGUAGCAGGUUUUCAAUAACUUAGUGUAGCAGCAGUAUGCAGUAGCAGCACACAACAACACAUAGCAACAACACGCAGUAGCAACACACAACAGCACGCAGUAGCAGCACACAACAACAACACACGCAGUAGCAGCACACAACAACACACGCACAAAGCAGCACACAGUAGCAGCACGUAGUAACAACAUGCAGUAGCAGCACAAAAUAACACACAUCAACAACACACACAGUAACAGCCCACAACAACACACAUAGUAGCAGCACACAACAGCACGCAGUAGCAGCACACAACAACACACAAUAUCAACACGCACAGUAGUAGCACACAACAGCACGCAGUAGCAGCACACAACAACACACAACAUCAACACAUACAGUAUCAGCACACAACAGCACGCUGUAACGGUAGCAGCACGCAACAACACACACCAACAUCACACGCAGCAACAGCACGCAACAACAUCACAUAGCAGAAUGCAGUAGUAGCACGAAGCAUGAGCACGGAUUAGCUACAAAUGAUCACUUUUUGCUGUCAAAUUCAAAAGAUAUGGGUUUUAAUUCCAAAGAAUCUUUGAGUAAACCAAGUUGUAGAGAUCGAAGAAUAAUCAAAUCAGAUCUGGUUGAAUUCAGCGAAGCCUUAGUCAACAUUCAUCCUUUCAUUAUUUGGCUCCUCCUCCCUUCCUCGCCUCCUAGCGAUUUGGUUGGAGCGGUGACUGGCGAAGAAGAAGAGGAAGAGGAAGAGAAGAAGAAGAGGAGGAAGAGGAAGAGGAAUCGGUGCAGAUCUGAAAAUGAUGGAGAAGUUGUAUUUUGAGCCAGUGACAGUUUUGUAGAUAUUUCAGAAAAUAAUAGUUUUUUGGGUAUUUUACGUAAAAAAUUGUUGACAGUGGGUCUGAGUAUAUGUCCUUAUUUGUUUAAAUCUAUUGAAAGAUGGUUUUUUUGUGUUUUGCAACUGUGUAGUGAGCUGUCAUUUUCUAAAAUAUAAACCAUCACAAUUACUUUUAAUAAGCCAACUAAAACAAAUAUAAACAAGAAUUAUUAUAAUAAACAACAAAAUAAAUAAAAUAAAAUAAAACAUAUAGUAAAUUAUAAAGUUAAUUGAAAAAAAACUACUUGAGUAAUGAGAAACUAAAAUUAACCAUUUAAGUUAUACCGUCCGAAGUGUAAAUACACAGAUAAAAGAGUAGUAAAAGAGAAACCCUUGAUAAGCCCAACAAAAAUAAAAUAAUAAAACUGAAAAAAGAAGAAGAUUAAACUGAUAAAAAAAAUAAUUUUUUUAACUGAUUUAAAAAGGGUUGGGGAUCAGAUGGUUAAGAUGGGGGUGCCCAAUUGUCGUAACCAGGCAUGAGCGGACACCCAUCUCGCAUAACAGCGAUUAUUGACCACUCAUCAUAUCCCGCUUCUGCCUGAAGGAUCAUGGUUUGUCACUUCCAACUCUUCCUUUUUUAUAAUAACCAGUUUGACUCGUACCUUACCUCGCUUUAGAUGUGGGACUAUAUAGCUGCACUCUCUCCUUAAUUUUCCAAGCAGUGUUGCUGUGUAUUCUCACUUUAAAAACAGCUCUCUCUCACUCUCUCUAUAUUGUGUUUAACAAGUCAUAUACAUCAUUGCGUAAAUCGUUGUUGUGUUUUCAGUGGACAAGGUGAGAAUCUUUUAACAAGAUAGUUUACUGCAUCAGGGAAGAAAUACUGAGGGAAAGAUCGAGCGUUAUCCCACACACUUGAGCAUUAUUGAUCGAGUGUCCCGUCUCAUUAGUAAGAGCACCGUCUACAAAGUUAUUUGCAUUCGAAACACAUGUUUGAACAAAACAUGUUGGAAUGAGUCUAUAAGCAGAUCGAAGAAUGUUGACUACGGUCGAAACUCUCUAAGGAACUAACUUCCUUGAUCCAAAAGUUGAAAACUAACAAGAGUUCCACUGUUCCAGUAAAAUAUCUGAUAAUGGAACCUUGGCCAGCUUGGACUUGUUUAUGUUACUUUCACAUAUGAUGUCUGAUCACUUUUAAAUAGGCCCUUGUAAUGAACUGGUGAAAGCUGGGUUCUUGCUUAGGAUUUGCAAGCUAGAAUUGAUUAAAUGUCUGAGAACUUACCAACUGUAUGUCUAGAAUCAACAUUGAAUGCUACAAAAGAUUACAGAAUAAACUGUAACAGAUGAACAAAUCUUUGAUUUUCAACUUUGUGGUAUGCUACCCACUCAUAUCAAGUGAGGUACUCUCCUAACUUAGUGUGUAGAGAACUAGAGAUGCUUUUAGUGUGACUUCAUGGAGAUGAACAUGUCAAGACAAUCACAUUUUAUCGGAUAAAACUUGACUUACACGGCAAAUACUUUGAUAAGCCUCAAGUUUCAAACCCUUUUCAAGCCGCAGUUAAUGACUUUAAAAAGAUAAGAUAUAUAAAACUACUCUACUACUUUCAUUUCAGGAUUACAUUUUUCAAACAUAAGGGAUCGGAGAAACAUCAAUGUCAAUUGCAUAUGUGAUAUGCUACAGGAGAACGGAAUUUGUAGUUUCCAAUCAAUGCGUUUUAAGCGGAAAUGCUUUUGAAGCAGCCAGAGUCAGUGGUUUCGACUUUCAACUUAAACAAUGGAAUUAAUCUGGAAUACCAGAAAAUGAAUGAAGAUUUAGGUCCGUGAAUGGCGACGUGAUUGAGUGCUCACGAAGCAUGUGUUGUAGGAGUGGGUGCUUUCUUAGAAUCAUAUCUAAGUGGAGAACACUUUGGUGGCUUUGCUAUUGUCGCUAUCAAACCAAUCAAUGACUAUGAAUUAAUCAUAAAGUCCCCCAUCUUACGAUCAGUCAAUUCUUUGUAACUAUGAAUACAAAUCUGUAAACUUAAGGCUCCUAAUCAACUUGGUCAACUAGUUAUUUUAAUUAAGAAAAAUUUCACGACGAAUAAUGAGUAGGGUUCACUUCAAGUUCAAAAAUUCGGUGAGACAGCUACUCAUAUCUAAAAUUCAGAAAAAUAAAAAACUUUACGUAGAUUGUCAUAUUUACGUUAGAUGUUACAUUCAUGUUAGAUAUACAUAUAACGUGAAUGUGAAGUUCUACAUUUAACUUUCUUCACAUACAUUCAAGAUAAACUUAUAAGUUUGGAUUUAAGUUAAACUGAUUUUUUUUUUUUUUUCAGAUAAAUUAUGCAUGCAUCAAGCUAAAAGAUACGAGUCAUGGAUAGCCAUCUUAUGCGGCGGAGUAUGGAUGGAGAAAAUCUAUCAAACGUUCCCAUGAAUUGAGGGCACCAAGACUUCAUAAGGGGUAUCUACUCUCCAACCACCACGGUUUGUCUUUGUCACCAAACCCUCUUAUCAAUGGUCCAUCCUGUGUAACUGAAAUACUGAAUUUGGAAUUGGGGGUUUAGGAUCACUGUUUUUCUUUUUAAGGCUACAACAGUUUACAACUUCACAUAAUGAGAGACUUGAAAAAAAUGAAAGAUAAAUCUGAGAACCAAACUAUGAUUAUCGUGCAUGGAAGGCUCUUGUUUCCCACUAUGAUCUUAUUGGCAAAAGUUUAGCUUGAGCAACCAAAACUUUUGCACCCUAUAAUGAUCUUGAUGCAUGGGGGUCACUAAUAUUCGUUAAACCUCUCAAUUCUCAUCAUGAUAGAUACGCAUUCUUUGUUUUUGAAAUCAUGCUAAUUAGCAAAGCAAGCAGCAGUGCAGCACGCUCAUAAUAAAAUAGAAACAAACAUCAAACCGUGUUCAUGAUCAUCCAUCCAUCCAUCUCUAUUAUAUAUUUCCUUCUUUUAUUCUUCUUUUCUAAAUUCCAAUAUCAAGAACAAGCCAACAACUAAAUGAUCCGAUCAUGAAUUGCUGUGUUGAUCGUACCCCAAGACACACCUGACCGUUGUUAAAAUGGCGCCAAACCCAACAGACCCAGUCUCUCUGGCAUUAUAUAUCAUAGGUCACGGGAAAGAUUUUUCACCCAAUCUCCAAAUUUUAAUCUUCACAAACCAGAAAGGUUUCGAAAGAAAAUGUUUGUCAGAGCGUCGUCGUAUUAUGGCAAACCCUACAACACUAGAAGCUAAGGGUCUAUGUCCCCAGGAAGAAGGCACCAAAUGAGAAAGGUCGAUAUGACCAACCCGGUUGGCCAUCCCACCACCUAAACAAAGGAAAGAAAAAAAAAAGAGAAAGUGAAAGUGAAAUACAGCCAAAUUCUGAUCACCAAAUCAAAGAUUAAUACAAACCAAUUUGCAUUAGUUGCUUGCUAAGUUAUGGCCUUAAUUAGCUCUGUUUGCUUUCACCUUGUUUCUACUAAUUGACAGGUUACCUUGCUUCAUUAGCCAUUUUAGUAAGGUAAAUUGUAACACAUAUUUUUUACGAUUCCGUACUAAGUUCGAUUUUUUCGUAUAGUUUCGAAGAUAAUGUACGUACCAUCUAUUUAAAUUUUCUUUAAGCAAUAUACCAUUUUAGAUAAUCUAAUAACCUAUGGAGUUAGCUACCAAACAGAGAAAAUCAUUCCGAUUGUGCCAAGGGGUAUUAUUUUCCUUCAUGUAUUUAGACAUUAUUAGAAAAGAAAGUUUUCUCCUUUUGCAUGUAAUGUAAGCAAACAGAGGGUGUAUUUAAGGUUGAGAUCUUCUUUGUGCUCUGUGAAGAAUUUUUGCAAUUACAAUUUUGGUCUAUAAAUGAAAUUAUUUUCUGUGAUGGAGACGAAAUAAAUAAGAAAGGAAAGAAAGAGCAAAAAAAGGAGAGGCGCAGACUCAGAAGCAGCAGCAGCGCUCUGUCCUCUCUCUCACUGUGCUUGUCUCUCGCGGCAAAUUUCUCUCUCCUAUUUCUUUAAUCAUUCUCUCUCUCUCUCUCUGAGUCCUCACAAAUCAAAAAGCUCUCUGCUUUGUUUCACUAAGAGCUUUGUUUGUUCUCACUGUCUCUCUUCUUCUCACUUUUGCUUUCCUAUUUUUUUUGCUUCAAAACCAAACACAAACCCAAACCCAAAGAUUGCUGCUUUUUUCUGGUUCCUCAUUAUUCUUAGAAACCCAAAACCACCCAGUUCAGUGGCAGAGUCGUAAUAUGGAGAGGAAACAGGGGUUCUUUUCGUCCCUUAAGGAGGAUGUGGUGAGGGGUCUGUCGCCGGCGAGGUCCAGGUCGAAGAGUCCGGCGAGAAGUGCGUCGCCAAUGUCGGGUCUGCUUCGGAGAAGGAGGAGGCACCACGUGGCGGAGCAGCUGAUGGUGGCGAGAUCCGGGGGGCUGAGGCCGCCGGCGGAGGCGCUGUCGCCGUUGAAGGAAGGGCCGGAUGAGACGGACGGCGAGGAUUUGAAGAUGGAGGGGAGGUGGGGCCACUGGAUGAAGGGCCAGCUGUGUAGGGCUCCGGCCGUCUCGUGCUCGUCGUCGGCGUAUAAGAGGUCGGAUCUGAGGCUGCUGCUUGGGGUUUUGGGUGCACCGUUGGGGCCUGUGCACGUUAGCACAGUCGAUCCUUUCCCUCAUCUCAGUAUUAAGGACACCCCCAUUGUAAGUUUUUCUCAGUUUCACAGUUGCUUAUGUUUUUAAUGUUAAGGUUCUACUUGUUGAAAAGUAUUAUGGUCCAAAUUUUGGUGUAUAUUUAUGAACUUUGGGAGUUAUGUGUGUCAGUGGUGAGAUUAAUGGUUUGGAUCGAUGAAUGAAUGAUGCAUGUGUAUGUUGAUCUAUGAAAGUUGGUGGGAGUGUUGAUUGUUUCCAGGAGAUUUGGUUCAAAGUGAGUUGCUUUAGUUUCAAGCAUGCUGGGUUUGAUUAUUAACAAAGGAAAAAAGUAAAAGAAAAGAUGGUAAAAGAAGCAAACCUCUUUGGAAUUGAGCAGAGCAUCUCCCCUUUUUUCGUUUUUACUCACAUACCCCCUUUGGAAAUCUUAUAUUGAUCCCAUUUGUAGCUGUCGAUUUCUGUUGGACGUUUCAUUUAGAAUGUAUGCGAGGAAGUAACCGCUGCUGGUUGUGUUGAAUUUUAUGCCUUUUUAGUGUUGUGUCGUUGCAUUGUGAUGUGUAAUCUAUGUUUUUAAUACCUAGUCUAUCGAGAUUCAUUUCCGGUUGGAGUAUACCCUAAUUUUGUGGAUUGCGGUUGCAGGAAACUUCGUCUGCUCAGUAUAUAUUGCAACAAUAUACAGCAGCAUCCGGGGGGCAAAAGCUUCAGAACUCGAUUCGCAAUGCUUAUGCUAUGGGAAAGGUGAGGAUGGUAGCUUCUGAGUUUGAGACAGCUGGCAAGGUUGUGAAGAGUCGCAAUUCCUCCAAAGCAGCAGAUUCAGGUGGCUUUGUCCUGUGGCAAAUGCAUCCAGAUAUGUGGUAUGUGGAACUUGCCAUUGGCGGCAGCAAGGUUCAUGCUGGUUGCAAUGGAAAGCUUGUCUGGAGGCACACACCAUGGCUUGGUGCGCACACUGCUAAAGGGCCUGUUAGACCCUUGCGGCGUGCACUUCAGGUACUUAAAGUUCUGGUCUUUGUGGUUCCAUGUUCAGCUCAGAUUGUUUUUGACGUGCAUAAUAUAAUUACUUUGCCUACUCAAUUUCUUUUACAGGGACUUGACCCGAGAACCACUGCUAGCAUGUUCACCAACUCAAGAUGCAUUGGUGAAAAGAAGAUCAAUGGUGAGGAUUGCUUCAUCCUGAAGCUUAAUACAGAUCCAUUGACUUUAAAAGCCAGGAGUGAAGGGCCUGCGGAGAUUAUAAGACAUGUUUUAUUUGGCUACUUCAGCCAGAGAACAGGUCUUCUAAUACACUUGGAAGAUUCUCAUUUGACCCGCAUUCAGAAUCAUGGAGGAGAUGCUGUCUACUGGGAAACCACAAUUAAUUCAUUCCUUGAUGAUUAUAGGCCUGUGGAGGGAAUUAUGAUCGCUCACUCAGGGCGUUCUGUAGUUACUCUUUUCAGGUUUGGAGAAACUGCAAUGAGCCAUACGAAGACAAGGAUGGAAGAAGCUUGGUCAAUUGAGGAAGUGGCAUUCAAUGUCCCUGGGUUGUCAGUAGACUGUUUUAUCCCCCCUGCGGAGCUAAGAUUUGCUUCUAUGAGUGAAACCAGUGAGCUGCCUCAGGGUCAGACUGUAAAGAACACCAUGGCAGGAGCUGCAUAUCGCUCCAAAGUUGCUGCACUUGAUAAGUCUCAUGAUGCCAACGUCAGUAAUAUUGUGUGGAAGAUGGGGAAUAUGGAUGUUUAGGACGAAGGCACAAAUUUGAAAGGUCUCUAGUUGUAAUGGACUGACAAUAUCAAAGAUUCAAAGGUAGGUUGAUGAGUUUAAAGCUGGGUCACAAUGCAGAACUUGUGUUGGAUCAGUGUACUUCCAACCUUGUACAUAGAGGACAGUUGUGAUUGUAGAUUUUCUCUGGUGCCAGAAAAUUUUUGUACCUAACUGGAAAUUAUUCUGGAGCCAGGGUGGGGUUUUUGGUGGGAUGGUUUAGCUGUCUAAGGGAGCUCAUUUAGAAUCAAUCAGUAAUUCAGUAUACUGAGAUGAGGAUUCAUGGAAACACUUCUCUUGAGAUUCUUGUAUAUCUGUGAAUGCCUUCACUAAAGAUCUUAUGUAGAAAUUUGAGUUCCUAUCAUGAAGGCAAGAAAUCUUGAUCUCAAGUUUUUGCUUUCUGUUUAUUUAUGCUAUGAUCUUUAUUUUUAUAGGGCAGUUUAUCAAUGUAUAAAAUUGUAUUUUCUUCAGUUGAAUUGUAUUUGACCUUUCAAGUAUGUUCUUGCGCCAAAUUGGAAUAGGAUCUGCUCAUUGAAGCUCCAUCUAACUCAAGUAACUAGAGGCAUAUAAAAUUACUGCAUUGGCAUGAAUAUAGAAAACGUUACUGCAUUGCGAUAUAUUGUGUAUUAUGACCAGGCCAAUCCAAUCAAGUAAUCAACAUAUCACAUUAUCACCGAUCCCGGCUUUGGUCCAUCCCUCGGUUCCUCUACAUUGCAGUGAAUGCAGUAAUUACCAUCAUCAAUUCAUCAUUCAAUCUUUAUUUGCAAAACUUCUUAGGGACGAAAUAAUCUUCCUCAGAGAUUUGGAUUCCACUAAGGAAAAAGAGUAAAUCUUAAAAUCUCAGAUUCUCAUUCUUACCUUGUCUUCCUAGGCUCACUAGAAAACCGUAUCUUAUAUUGCGAUAUUAAUCCGGCGCAUAUCAUGGUAAUAUCUGAUAGAAGCAGGAAACGAAUUAAGUUGUGUCUGCCUUCUCUUCCAAGGUUUCCAUGACGAGCUAGAAAUUACAAUCUGAAGCUAUACCAUCUCCUACAUCCCUAUAAAUACUUGUUCCAGCCACAGUACUCACUACUCACAAUCUUGUUAGAAACAAAGAGCAGUACGUCAAUACAACAUAUGGCAUCACAAUCUUGGUACAGGGGCAGAGUCAAGGCUUGUCCUUCAGGCGAUUGCCUUGUCAUCCAAGCCCUUCGGCCAAACAAUACCGGAAUCCCACUGGAAAGAGUUAUUACUUUGUCGUCGGUUCGUGCUCCUAAACUAGCCGGUGAAGAUCGCAGCACUGAUGAGCCUUUUGCAUGGGACAACAGAGAGUAUCUGAGGAAGCUAUGUCUCGGAAAGGAGGUGGUUUACUGCAUUGAGUCUGUUGAAGAACCGCUUGGCUUGGUUGGUACUGUUUUCCUUGGUAACUAUAACGUUGCAGCACUUGUUGUUCAGAAAGGAUGGGCAUCUGUAACUUCGCCGAGCACAACUCCUUACUAUGUUGAGCUCCAGUUUUACAUGGACCAAGCUUUUAACAAAGGUCUCGGUCUCUGGAGCAAGGCUUCCGGUGCGGCGGAGGCAUCUGUUAGGACUCUACCUCCCCAACUCAACUCAGAGACCACCAAGAAUCUUUUGGCUGCAAACAAGGGAAAGAGUAUGGAUGCUAUCGUCGAGCAUGUUUGUGAUGGGAGUACAGUUCAGGUUCACUUGCUUCCGGAGUUUCAGCUUGUCCAGGUAUUUGUUACAGGAACUCAGUCGCCCUAUGGUGCUUAUCCUUUUGCAUCGGAAGCGAAACUUUUCACAGAGACUCGUGUGUUGAAUAAAGAUGUGCGUAUUGUCUUGGAGGGUGUUGACGAAUGCAGCCGUCUGAUUGGUUCGGUGUACUAUUACCCCGAUGGAGAAUCUGAGAGGGACUUGGGGCUGGAGCUUGUGAAGAAUGGUUAUGCUAAAAUUUUACGAUGGAGCGCAGAAGUGAUGGAUGAAGAUGCAAAGCAGCGGCUCAAGACUGCAGAGUUUGAAGCUAAGAAGAACAAGCGGAGGAUUUGGACAAACUUAGUUACAAAUUCCAAGCCAAUUCAUGACCAGAAUUUCACUGGAACAGUUGUGGAGGUUGUAAGUGGGGGAUGUGUUAUUGUGGCUGAUGAUUCUAGAGAGCGGAGAGUUAGUCUUUCGAGUAUUCGGUGUCCAAAGAUGGGAAAUUCUCGGAGAGGUAAUAAGCCAGAUGACUAUGCGCGUGAAGCCAAGGAGUUGCUGAGGACACGCCUUAUUGGACGCCAAGUGAAUGUUGAAAUGGAGUAUUCAAGGAAUGUCGGCAAAGCAGAUUCAGAGUCUUCUGGAGUCAUAGAUUUCGGAUCAGUCUUUGUUGAGGAUAAAAACGUUGCUGAGCUUCUGGUUGCAUGUGGUUUCGCUACUGUCAUCAAUGAGAGAUCAAGAUACUAUACUGCUCUUCUUGCUUUCGAAACACGUGCUAUUGCUGAAAAGAAAGGAUUACAUUCUUCAGAGGAGGCCCCCGUUGUGCACAUUACUGACUUGACCACAAUGGAAACAGCCCAGAAAGCAAGAGACGCAUUGCCAUCCUUGCAGCGAACUAGGAGAGUGUCUGCAGUUGUGGAAUAUGUCUUCAGCGGUCAUCGUUUUAAACUUUACAUUCCCAAGGAGACAUGCAGCAUCUCGUUUUCUCUCUCAGGUGUGAGAUGUCCUGGUCGUGAUGAGCCCUAUUCGGAAGAAGCAAAGGCAGUCAUGAGGCGAAGAUUAAUGCAGAGAGAUGUUGAGAUUGAAGUGGAGACUGUUGAUGGAAACGGAACUUUCGUGGGAAGUUUAUGGGAAUCUGGGACCAAUGUGUCAAUUGCCCUUGUUGAAGCUGGCCUCGCCUAUAUUGGUGGUAGUGAUAAGAUUCAAGAUGGCCAUCUCCUAGAACGAGCUAUGAAAGAAGCAAAAAUGAAGAAGCUGAAAAUUUGGGAGAAUUCUGUAGUGAUUACAGAAGUUUUGGACAGCGGUAAAUUCUAUGUGCAGACAGUUGGGGACGAGAAGAGUGCCUCUAUUCAGCAACAGCUUGCUUCUUUGAACCUUGAAGAAGCUCCUUCUGUAGGUGAUGCUUUUAAUCCUAAGAAGGGUGACAUUGUCCUUGCUCAAUUUAGUGUAGAUAAUUCUUGGAACCGAGUUAGGAUUGUCAAUGUGCGAAAAGACAAUUUUGAAGUGUUCUACAUUGACUAUGGUAAUCAAGAGGUUGUCCCUUACAGUGAGUUACGGCCUCUUAACUCUUCUCUUGCCGCUGCACCUGGUCUCGCUCAGCUAUGCAGCCUUGCACAUGUUAAAGUCCCGAGCUUGGAGGAGGAGUUUGGUCAAGAAGCAGGUGAGUAUUUGAGCGAGUGCAUUUUGGACAAGGAGUUCACCGCCGAGAUUGAGGGAAGAGAUAUUUCAGGAGGAAAAUUUGCUAAAGGCCGAGGAACCGGACCAGCUCUUAUGGUAACUCUUGUUGCAUCAGAUAAUGUUGACAGUAUAAAUGCUGUCGUGCUUCGUAAUGGACUUGCUAUUCUAGAUAGCCAUUGGAAGGCUCGUCACCUGAGAAAGUUCCAGCAAGAGGCAAAAACCUUCCGCCGGGGGAUUUGGCAUGAUUACUACGAGGGAAUUCAAUUUGCACCCAAUUUUUGAUAGCCGUUUUAAAUGAAACCCACAAAAUAUACAUUUUCAAUAGACACCUAAUUUUAUAGAGAAAAUAAUAAUAUAUUGUCUUUCAUUUUUAGCAGAAAUUACAUAUUGUCACUAUUUAAAUCUAAGUAGUCCUCGGAUUACUCAUGCAUUGACAUUUUUUUGUCGUUAUAGGUUGUAAGCCUAAUGGAUUUAGUUCCAUUUCCCUACAAAAAAAAAAAAAAAUAUAGGCUUGAUAAUUUGGGUUUUUAUCUAAUAUUCUCCCUGCAAGAAAGGCUAGCUGCUGGCAGGCAGUGAUCAGGUUCUAGCUUUUUGGGUGAUACGAAACUUGGAUUUUGUUAUACUAGUGUUUCCAUCACAAGUUCAUUGUAUCACUAAUUCACUAUCAAACUUGCAUUCAAAUAAAGAUUGGAUUGACUUUCUGAACCGUUUUACGACAUUUGAUUUUCUGCUACCAAAGGUACAUUGUAUAAAGAUUUUCUGCUGAACUCUCUAAAUGUGCUCGAUCUAUACAAGUUUUUAUGCCUUCCAUGAUCUAUAUAUAGUAUGUUUAAUAGUAGCCAGACCUCCACCGGUAGUACUAGUACUAACUCUAUUUUAUACUGCACAUAUAUCUCUUUUAAUUUUCAUCACACUUUACUUGCUAGUUAUAUGGAUUAUAUAGUAGUUUGAAGGUUCAAGUUAGGGACCACGACCACAUUUCAGGUUCUGCAAGGUUAAGAGUCACUGAACUGAUCAUAUAUUAAACAAUUUCCAAGCUAGGUCCUUCGCUUCCGUUUAGCAAGAAAUCUAUCUGUAAUCACAAUGUAUAUUGCUGCAGUAUUAUAAGCCAGAAAGGAAAAAGGAAAUAGUAGAAGCUGACAACAUGAUUAUCGUGUCAAAUACUGUGCUUUUUUUUGAACGAGUGUUUUACAUUGAUUAGUUGGAUACUGUUUGCAGGAUCUACUGUCUUGUUUGUUCUGAACAAACUGAGGUUUACACAAGAACAUUAAGAAUGAAGAAGGCAGGAGACUUGUGAGGACCACUUGCUUUUCAUUGUGGGAAGCAUGAUGCUAGUUUUGCUACUCCUCCAUUUGAGGUUUGUCCUUACUUACGUAUGAAUGCUUUGGGUUUUCCAUAUUAUCGGCAUUCUUAAUAUGUUGGUUAUGAAUGCUGGAUGGCAACUUGACAGAAACUUCAUUUCUUUUUUUGCCACGCUGAGAAGCAUAGUCUUUUUCAGUUUGGUUUUUCUUUUUUAGUUCUUUUAGAGCAUCUCCAAUGGAAUGGUUAUAAUUUUUUGGCAAAUUUGAAUUUUGACAUCUGAGGUGAUCUAAUGUGGAAUUUGACAUUUUACUUCAAUUUCUCCUCCAACCCAACUGUCAAAUAUUUGUAAUAUAUUACUAUUUUUCUAUGUUUAUCUUUACCUAGUUAAUUCUCUCUAUUUACCUAGAAGCAAAAGAGGAAGAAGAAAGAGGGAAGAGAAACAAUAAAAAAUUAAUGAAAAGACAACAAAGAAUGGGGCUGUCAAAAAUAAUAGCAUGAAACCAAAAUGUCAUCCACGAUGGAAUAGACACAUGGGUUGCAGUGAGUUUUCAGAUGUCAUUUUAUAGCUGUUGGCUCCAUGUGGGAUUUUGACAUUACCACCGGAGAUACUCUUAGUUUUGAGAGACUUUCUAUGCAUUAUUUUUGUUGAGAAAGAUUUUGGUUUGGUCCCCCUUCUCUUUUUUACUUGUUUUUUUUCUUUUUCUUUAAUAAAUUUAAAUGGAGGGAUGGGCUGUGGGUUCCGAUGUGAUGGCCCCCUUUCUUUCGGGAUUGUGGGAGAGGGCGUUUGUCGUCCCAAAUUAGCUGUUGCAGAGGAGCUAAUAUCGCUUAAUCCUCUAUUUAAUUAAAAAGGAAAAGAAAAAAAAAACAUGAUGCUAGUUUAGCAUGGGAGAAAGGAAAAUGUAUUGUACCUCCAUAAAAGCAGCAGUAUACAUUAUGAUUGGUAACAUCCUGCUCGUUGCUUCUUACAUGGCCAUCACUACUGUACGCCAGAUAUGUACUCAUACUGAUGAUAGUCGCAUAUUUGUGCGACUUUUAUCAUGCUAAUUAUUCUUAUUACUUAUUUAUUUUGUGAUGUUUUCCUAUUUUUAAUUAAUUUUAUUUGUUUUUAGGUGUUUUGAAGUCAAACAAAGAAAAAGAGAUAGUUGGGCUUAAUUAGGACCCCUAAUCCUAGUUGGAUUGGUGAUGGACGUGACAAAUAGGUUCACUAACCUAUUUCAACGAGAAGAGCAGCCGAACAAGAACCAGAGGGAAAAAGAGAAGAAAGAAAGGGAAGAAAGAAAGAGAAGAAAGAAAGGGAAGAAAGAAAGAGAAGAAAAGAGAGAGAAGGAGAAGAAAGAAAGGAGAGGAAAAAGAACUCGAUCGGCAAAGAUCUUCUUCAAUCAAGUUUUCUUCUUCUCACCCUUAUUUCAUCUUCCAUGUAUUCUCUGAUGUUCUUAAUCAAGAUUAUGUGUAACUAAACUCCUUAGUAGUUAGGGGCUGAUCAAAGCCCUAGAUAUGUCUUCGAUUUCGAACCCCAAUUGAUUUAUAUAAUUUUAGAUGAGAAUUUCUUCACUGAUUGUUCAUUGAUAAUUCUAUUGCAUGUUUCAUUGAGUCGACACUUUGAUGCAUGUUUUAGGGUUUAUUAUUUUGAAUGUGUUUAUGACUGACAUAUCGUUGCAUAUUCUAUGAAAGAUAACAAGUUCUUUCCAGGUACUUGUGUGAAGUGAUUCCUUGGUAAUCUAAGGCUACCAACAUUGACCUUAGAUUCUUUGUUGCUACUCAAACGUUCUUAGAUCUUCAUGAUUUCAGUUAUUUUGAUCUAGAUACCGACAUUUCAUAGAUCAAUUAAUUGGGAAUAUAGUUAAGUCGAUACCGACAUUUCACUUAACAUGGCAAGUAAGAGAACGUAAUACGGUUAAUGACCUAAUGACAUUGGCUUAACUGUGAGUGCAUUCAUCUUUAGUCAUUGACAUUGUUUUGGGGUGAUUGAAGCGUAUCUAGUGGUGGAGAGAAGUUCCUAGCUAUUGUUUCUCUCAUAUUUACAUCCAUAUUCACUUUUUAAUAUUCUGUUUUCAGCAGUACUUCUGUUUUAUCUAUUUUUGUUCACCAAUCAAACCAACUCCGAAUACCCUCAAAAUUUGUGUGGUAGUCCGCCACUGUGUCUAGUUACUGUUUAUUUAAUUUCAUAAUUUUUGGUUGAGUCUAGAUUAGCUAAUUAAUUAGGUUUCUGCUCCUAGGUCGAGUCUGCCAGAUUUCUGGUUUACGCGUCUGUUUGUGUUUCUUGUGUGUUUAAGUCUUAGUAUCACCAAUCCUCUGCGGGUAAUGACCCCUAUUUGCCAUUUACUAUAUUGAUAUAAUUGAUUUGAUAAUAGGGUAUCUUUGUAGGUGUUUUUGCGCCUAUCAACUGAUAUAACACAUUUAGAUUAAGAAGCAUUGGAUUUAAAUCCAAAAGCAAGAAAGUAAUGAGGUAAAAUCAUUACUUGAAAGUGUUGAGGCUUCAGAAAGACACCCUAGUUUGGAAACAGAAGAAACUGAUAAACCUAUAUUGUUUGGUAAUCCAGUUGCACCACUUAACGAAUCUGUAGUACCUGUUAUUGAAUCAUGAGUUAUUUGCAGCAGAAGCUAAAUAUUUCACAGAAGUGGGUGUGUUGAACAGAUGUGUGCAUAUCUGGAAGUUGUGGAGAACUAAUCCACACUAGGUUGUUCGGCAACAGUCUGGUAGCGCUAGUACAUGUAUUACCACCCUCAUGGAGAACUUGGGUGGAGCUUGUGCAGAAUGGUCUUGCAAAUUAAGUAUGCUGAAUGAGUGAAACCAUGAUGGAUGAAGAUGCAGACCGGCAGCAGCUCAAGACCGCAGAGAAGCUAAGAAUAAUAAGUUGAAGAGUUGAGUACAGAACUACAGACUGUAUAUAUCCAGUGUCCCCAGCUUAAUUUUUGUAAGCCUAAGUAUAAACCGUCUCUCAUGUAAUGCAACUCCAUUUCCUUUAUUAUUGUUUGAUGAAUAAUAUAAGAAUGUCUUCCAUGUAAGCCUAGAGGUAUGGUGCUUAAUUGCCUCUAGAUUAUGAUCUGUUUAGUCUUCAUCAUCAUGAGCUUAGGAACCAAUGCAUCUACUAUCCACGCCAAUUGUACCAACAGGCAAUAUACUAAACACAUUCAUAUAUACUUAGGUACACCGGCCAGUAGCGUAUUUUUAAUUCUCGAUUACUAUUUGUAGUGAAGCUUAAGCUCUCUAAGUCUGCUCUUUUCAGGUUUUCAUGCUUUCUAUGAUCUAUGUAUAGUAUGUUUAUACAGUAGCCGCAUAUUCUUGAGACCUCCACCAUUUGUACUAAACUCUAUUUUCAAUCUGUACAGUAGCAGCUUCUAUCUUAUCAUAGCUUAUAAUUUGUAGCGUUAAUU
rnacentral:lncRNA from 1 species